rnacentral:rRNA from 1 species
UAUCUCUGUAGAGUCUGCAUAUCAAUAAGCGGAGGAAAAGAAACUAACUAGGAUUCCCUCAGUAACGGCGAGUGAAGCGGGAAGAGCUCAAAUUUGAAAUCUUCAAGGUUCUACCUUGACGAAUUGUAGUUUAAAGAAGUGUUUUCUGUUGAAGUUUUGGUAAAAGUUCUUUGGAAUAGGACAUCAUAGAGGGUGAGAAUCCCGUAUUUGACCAGUUAUUUCCAGCUGUGUGAUACACUUUCAAAGAGUCGGAUUGUUUGGGAAUGCAGUCCAAAAUGGGUGGUAAAUUUCAUCUAAAGCUAAAUAUUGGCGAGAGACCGAUAGCGAACAAGUACCGUGAGGGAAAGAUGAAAAGAACUUUGAAAAGAGAGUUAAACAGUACGUGAAAUUGUCAAAAGGGAAGCGCUUGACACCAGUGUUGUUUCUACGAAAAUCAAUUUAUGAUGGCUUGAUGCUAAGCUUUAAGACUUUAUCCGCUUGUUGUUUAGUUUUCUUGUCUUUGUGAAUGCACUUUUCGUGGAACAAGUCAACAUCAAUUUCUUUUGCUGUAAAAGGGUAAGAGGAAGGUGGCUUCGGCUUCGGUUGAAGUGUUUAUAGCCUUUUAUCUCUGCAGUCGGAGAGAUUGAGGUCUGCAGCGUAGACUCUUCGGGGUUAGAUACGUCGGUGCUAAGCUAUAGCUUUUCAUAGACAACUUGUUGACUAUGUUUAGUCAUGUGGCUUACCCGCUGGCGCUAUUUUACCUACGCUUAGGAUGUUGAGUCAUCACACAUCUCU